rnacentral:ncRNA from 1 species
GCCCGGUGCUGGAACGUUAAGGGGACCGGUUAGCUCACUUUCGGGUGGGCGAAGCUGAGAACUUAAGCGCCAGUAAACGGC